GUUUCUAUUUAUAUAGUUUAACAUUUUCAUUGUAAAAUUAAAUUCCUUAUUUUAUAA
rnacentral:tRNA from 1 species